ensembl:lncRNA
AUGGAAUGUUGGGGAGUUUUUUCUGCGAUAGCUGCCGCUUGUCUGCUAGGUAUCGGGUUGAGCCAGACGACGGCUCCCACACUCGCUCCUGCUGUAAUGAACACUACAUUCACUGACAAUGUGACUGCUGCCACAACAUUGACUGAGAGCACCACAUUAAAUGACAGUGUGACAGUGACUACCCCUAUGAUUCUCAGCACCACUUCCACAGGCUGCUCUUCCCUGAACACCUCCACCUGCGAGGUCUGUGUCCCAGGCUCUUACUCUAACAACGACAGCCUGCAGUGCUCCUGCUGCCCUGGUCCAGGGAUGUGUCAGUUCACAGCGGCUUGCCUCCCAUGUUCCCUAGGGUUCUUUCAGCCUCUGACUGGACAACAGCAAUGUUUGCCCUGUAGCCAGGGUUUCUACACCAACAUCUCCGGCAGCCAUGUGUGUCGAGCCUGUCACCCAGGAUCAUACAGCAACAGCACUGGUUCCAACUCCUGUCAAAACUGUUCUGCAGGUUUCUAUACAUCACAACAAAAUGCCACAUCAUGUAAUCCAUGUCUACAAGGAACAUUCUGCAACUCCUCCAGUUGUGCUCAGUGCGAGAUCUGUCCUGCCGGUACCGAGUCCCUACAGGCUGCAGCCAAGGAGUGUACACCUUGUCGUCCUGGCAUGCACAAGCCCCCCCUUCAGAACAUGUGUCAAAUCUGCAGCAGUGGCUUCUUCCAAAUCCACUGGGGUCAGGAGACAUGUAACCUCUGCCCCGAAAACCACUACUGCCCGAGUCCAGAUGUGAAUCCCAUUCUGUGCCCUGGCGAUGCCUUCUGUCCUGAGGGCAGCACUGCUCCAGGUUACUGCAUGGAGACCUUCUUCCGUAAGGCCGGGGAGGAAUGUGAGCUUGCCCCCGUCACCAUUGCUCUACUUGUUAUUGGAGGAGGAGUUGCCCUGCUCUUUGUAAUCCUGCUGGUGUUGCGUCGGAGACGAGACACAGAUGGAGAGCUCUCCCUUGCCCGACAACCUCUUAUACGCAAAGAACGGCCACAAGGCCGAUAUUACGGGAUCCCGUGUGAUGCUGAGCCAGUGUAUGCUGGUUGGUAAACACAUCCUCAGCAGCUUCAUCAGCUUCAGCUCUUAUAUUUGGGGUGGUGUGUCUGGCUUUUAGAUGCAGAAUCAAAUUCUGUGUGUCUCAGCUGUAGACUAAUGACCAUAACCGAACAGAGACUCCCACCAUAUCCUAGCCAUUGUUUCAACUAAUAUCCAUUUGAGUGCUUUUUCAUGUGUUCUUGACAAGCAGAACGUAUUCUCUUCUGCAUUCUGUUCAUAAGUGAUGGCUGAUCCAUCACAUUUCAUUCUUUGCAUUCCCUUUUAGCUUAAAAUGAUAAAUGGUUUAAAAGAGCACACUAGAUGGUUGAGGAUGGUUGACAUAAGAGCUUGCUAGUCUUUUAUAAGGACUUGGUGGAGUGUUAUGAAAAGCACUUUUUUUGUUGUUUGUAAAUCUUAAUAUGUUCAUUGUAGAUUGGUGUGUAAUGUAUGCUUUAAAGACUGUUUUAAGUAAAUGUUUUCUAUUUUGCUCUGUCAUAAAAAUAAUAUACAGGUAUUUGCUGGUUAUACAGCGGAAUAAUAUUUUUGAUCUGAGGUACUAUGUUAUCUUUUUUAUUGUUUGUUUGAAAUGCAUUCCUUGACAUGUUCGUAAUUACUUUGUUGACCUAUGUUAUUUAAAAUAUUGUAUUUGUAUAUUUUAAGAAAACACUGAAUCCAGGGCAUAUGCUGAAAAUAAAGCACAACCUUGCGCUAUACUCAUUUGAACUUACAGAAAUGUUUGUAUGCAUAUACUAACCUAUAAAGUUAUUUCCAUGCAAGUGUAUGAAAAUUUUUGUUCAACAUUUUAACCUCAGUAAAUGUCGAACGGUGUGCGCGUGCGGGCGCGUGUGUGUUUAUGCAGGCACGUUAGUAACUGGAUAUUCAACAUUUUCGUGACCUGAGGACUGUACUAGGAAGUGAGUUAAACCUACUCAGAUUAAAAUCGAGGUUCAGGGUUGACACAUUCUGAUUGUCUUAAGUGGUGGUAAACGGUACCACGACGGUGAUAAAGAUGUCGGUUAGUUGAUUCGGUUUUAACUUAAUUGGAGUUUGCUUGAAAGGGGCGCGUUCGCAACACAGGCGGAAUUUUUGCAUAAUGGCUCGUGUUACGUAUUUUCCCACUGAAAAUGCACGUUUAUAAUGUCAGCAUAUGAGGAGUUUAAAAAAGGUAAACGGCUAAAUCUAACACCGUGGCAGCCAACAAACCCAGGGAGGCUUUUUGGCAGCGCGUUGGUGACAGUAAAUUCGUAAGAGCGGUGUUCUUGUCAUAUGCUCACUAUUUUGUCCUAAGGACUCUUCAUUUGUGAUAUGAUUGAGAUGUAACGUAAGAG